GAUGGUAACUGUCACCUAGUAACCUACAGGGUUGCUUCAGCAACUAACUCCUUAGGGUAAAAGAGCAGUAAAGAAUGUCCUCUGAGUCCCUGGAGGAAGUCAGGGAGCAUGGGCUCCAGGACAACAGCAUCAGAACCCCCGGCCAUGUUUGUUCUACAGUAAUCUGUUUUCAACAGUAGCUGAAGGGGUUCUCAGCAUAACAGUAAGCUCCUUCUCUGCCUAUUUACCUUAAGCAAACUUCAAUAAACAAAUUCUGCCUGAAUACUCAAAGCUCCAUGAAAUCUACCUAAUCUCUCAUCCUUAAAUAUAAAUGAACCACCAUGAUUCACCA
rnacentral:lncRNA from 10 species